rnacentral:rRNA from 1 species
GACGAACGCUGGCGGCAUGCUUAACACAUGCAAGUCGAACGGAAAGGCCCUGCUUUUGUGGGGUGACCGAGUGGCGAACGGGUGAGUAACACGAGUGUAACCUGACCUUGUCUUUGGGAUAACUUCAGGAAACUGGGGUUACUACAGGAUAGGAGCCCCCGCUGCAUGGUGGGGGUUGGAACGUUUCGGCGGUCGGGGAUGGACUCGCGGCUAACCAGCUAGCUGGUGGGGGAGUGGAUUACCAAGGCAUUGACGGGUAGCCGGCCUGAGAGGGUGGCCGGCCACAAUGGUACUGAGGUACGGACCAGACUCCUACGGGAGGCAGCAGUGGGGAGUAUUGCACAAUGGGCGGAAGCCUGAUACAGCAACGCCGCGUGCGGAAUGACGUCCUUCGGGUUGUAAACCGCUUUCGCCUGUGACGAAGCUUGAGUGACGGUAAUGGGUAAAGAAGCACCGGCUAACUACGUG